UAUUUGCAGGUUAGUACCCAACAAAACUUGGACACGACGAUUUGUCCAAAAAAGUGUCUAAAAAAGUUGCUUUCACGGACGCACCGUGUUUUGUUGUUUCAGUUUUACAUUCGGAACUCUAAAUUCUCGAGAGUUCCGAAAAUCAACUUCCGUUGAUCCUGAUCAUAACAACGUUUGUUUUCAUGGAAAAAAAAUAUGGCGACUAAGAAACACUUAAUGUCAACAAGAUUUUCUGAUUGACAAGAGAAAAGGUCAAACAGGAACUUCAAUUGUGAACAUUGCAGAGAACACACUCAUCAGAAGAUGACCCUCAGAAAUAGGACAAUUAAUGAAUAAAAUGGACAGAGGCAGAACUGAAGGAGAUACAUGGAAUGAGGAAUAUUUCAAAGAUUGCCUGCGCAUAACCACUGCUACUGGAUAAACAUAUGGCAAUAUAAAAGAGCAGGGUCAAUGGAGGUAUCAUACAGUAUAGACCAUGAGAGACCCUGAAGAAGAAAGUAUUGAACAGAAACAAAAAUAAAACCAUUUUGACAUUUAUUGAAAUAUAGGAUCAAAGUCUUACAUGUAAAAUUUGGGCAUAGAAUGACUUUUCUCUAGCUCUAAGACUUAUAACAGUGAUGAUUUGAUUUAAUAUCUUUAUCCCGAUUUGUCGAAAAGAUUUGGACAUAGUGCAUCAAUUAUUUUAAAGUUUUGAUACAACGAAUUCAUUCAUUGUACUUGUAACUGAGUUUUCUGGUGCGACACUGUUUUAUCGGCUUCAAAACUAAGUUUGUGAUUUCCAAACCAG